GACGAACGCUGGCGGCGUGCCUAAUACAUGCAAGUAGAACGCUGAAGGAGGAGCUUGCUUCUCCGGAUGAGUUGCGAACGGGUGAGUAACGCGUAGGUAACCUGCCUGGUAGCGGGGGAUAACUAUUGGAAACGAUAGCUAAUACCGCAUAAGAGUAGAUGUCGCAUGACAUUUGCUUAAAAGGUGCAACUGCACCACUACCAGAUGGACCUGCGUUGUAUUAGCUAGUUGGUGAGGUAACGGCUCACCAAGGCAACGAUACAUAGCCGACCUGAGAGGGGGAUCGGCCACACUGGGACUGAGACACGGCCCAGACUCCUACGGGAGGCAGCAGUAGGGAAUCUUCGGCAAUGGACGGAAGGCUGACCGAGCAACGCCGCGUGAGUGAAGAAGGUUUUCGGAUCGUAAAGCUCUGUUGUAAGAGAAGAACGAGUGUGAGAGUGGAAAGUUCACACUGUGACGGUAUCUUACCAGAAAGGGACGGCUAACUACGUG
rnacentral:rRNA from 1 species